AUGCUAAUCUGAUGUGAUGCUCUUCAAAAUGUAUUUGUUAUGUAUCUAGAUAUAUUGAAUCAAGUGGACCAUUUACUUAAAUCUCUCCAUCUCUCCAAAAAACUGUGGUACUUUUUGCUUUUUGAUAAAUCAAUUAUCAUAAAUCUCAAAUAACUCAAAGAAACCUUGUUAGUUUUGGAUUUCUUACCAUGGUGGUAGAAAUUAAAGGUCGGUUUUUAAAUUGGAAUGUAGGAAUUGUAAGCAUGAUCGUCUUUCUCUGGUGUUUAACCUAGAAUAUAUAUUUUUGUAACCUGACCUCCAAGUCACAUGUCAUUGUACCCUUAUAGUAUAUUGAAAAUUUGUGUGCUUGUUGAAAAAUGAAAGAAUAGGUACUGUAAAUGCAGUGGAUUUUCAAAGUAUUCUAUAGUGAACCAAUUUUCUCAAGCACACUGAUGUCUGGCUAAUGAUUAGAUGUUUGACUUGUUUAAUUAUCUUUUCAUGUGUUUGAUUGUUGGUUCGAGAGUGGUUCGAUCUUGAAUUUAGUUCUCAUCUUGCAUGCACGGAUCAAGAGCCUUAUCGUUAACAGACCAAUCUAACCGAUUUUGUUGGUUUUUUAUUUGAGGAAACCAAUUGGUAAGUCCGUUAGUGCUUUUCUUUUCGUUUCUGCUAUUGAGGGUGGAGAACUAAACCAAAAAAACAUUUUCUUUAUCACCGAUUGAUGUCUGGGCAGAGGACAUUGAUUAAUUUACCCAUAAGCAUGACAAACUAUUAUAAAUUCUCAAACUGAUUUAAUAAGAUUACCAAGGCUAUUAUAAAUUGCUGUAUAUGUAUGACAGCUACUUUAAACUUCUCUUUUGAAACUUUUCAAACUGAAUAGAUAGGAAGUAUUUACAGAAUUUAUGUAAUUGUGGCAACCAUAGUAGUAAUGACAGUGAUUAUUGUUAUGAAAUUUUUGUGGCAGACAUGAAAUUUUUAGGAAGCAGUUUCUUUUUUUAAUGCAUCUAAGUUGUGCUUCUACGAAUUUGAUACUAGGUUCUUUUGACGACUCAUCUGCAGUAGUAGAGAUCUAUAGUAUAUUAAAAGGCAAUUUUCUAUGCAGAUGUGCUUUAGUUCUUUCUUUUUUUUAACUGAGAUGAAUAUUUAUAUUUUCGUCGAACUGAAUAUGUAUUGAUUUUGUCCAGUAGAAUCAAGUAAUUAGUACUUAUCAUGGUAGAAUGAACUAAUUUUAUUUUUUCAUUUCAUUUCCACAUUGUUUCUUCUUAGCACUGACACGCUAUCACAUCAGAGAAGAACCUGAAAACUGUAAGAUGAUCAGGUGAAUUAGUUUUUAGUACCUACUUUACCUUCAUUGUUCAUAUUUCUUACCACAACUUGUGUUCACUUUUUAUAUUCCUUGAUUGUGUGUUUACAUUGCAGUGGAUUAAUAGUUUGGUAUGUUUUUUUAUUUUUUAUUUUUAUUUUUAUCAAAAAUAAGCAGCUCUUAUCUCAGUUUUCUUCCACUUACCAAACAACGAGUCUCGUUUAAUAUAUAAAGCCCGCAACAUUGUUCCCAAUGGUUCUGUUCGUAGUGAAUCAAGAGUUUUUAAAGUUAAAUGUCUAAAAAAAUAUAAUGUUGCACAUAUUUGUUAUUAGUUGCUAUAUGCUAAUUUAGAUUGUGAUUUGUUUUUUUUUGAAAUCCUGUGAGGUUUGAAACGUGAUGCAUCAUAUUACUUCUUUGAAUGGGAGCAAACAUGCCAAGCUUUUACAAUUUGCACAGUGUGAGCAUGAGGAGCCUAUCUCUUGAUCUCUAUGGCCAUUACACCAAAUAAGACUUAUUCUUUUACCAAAUCAAACAACGCAUUGAUCAUUUUAUCAAUCUCUUGAGCUGAGACUAACUAUCAAGAGUAAUAAUCAACUUGGACAUGCCUGAAUAAUCGGCCCACUAGCAUACCAGAAAGGACCACUAACUCCAUAUUGCCAACCAACAUUUGAACUAAGCAAAGUUGUAGGUACUGGAUUAGCUGCAAUACAUUCAUCAAUAUUUCAGUUGAGAACAUUGCAGGUUGGAGAUUUACAUUGACGUUAUUUUCUUAAUCUCUUCUAAUUGAAUUGCGAAUUUCAAAUGCAUUAAUUUUCGUAACUUUUCAUUCUUUUCUAAAUGAAUUAUAUUUGUGGUUUUUUUAAUUUGUAGCAUCAAACGCAGCCGCCAUCAAAACUUGAGAUACAAAGGUUGACUUGAAAACCGUUUCUGUUUUUUUGGGAUGUUUUACCAUUUCAAUCAUUUGAUCAAUCAUUGAUCAUUGUAAAUCUGGGUAUUUUAAUCUUUGUUUCUAUAUAGCUUCUACACUUUCUUGAAUUUAACAUAAAAAUUGAUUUUGGUUGAAUUUAUAGGAGACUGGUGAUUGAGCAUUUUUAAGUCUCUUUCUGCAUUUGGAAGCUGUAAUAUUGUCCUUAUUUCGGUUUAUUUUUGCAUAAUUUUAAUCAUUAUUUUGGAUACAUUAUACUAUGUAUACGUCUUAUUAGACUUUGCUGGAUUGUAUAUUGAAGAUUCUUGAAUGCUUUGGUUUUUGGUUAGCUGCAGGUUCAGAGUUGUUUACUCUCUCUGUGCUGGCUUCAAAAGGUAUAUGUGUUUGCUCUCAAUUUCAUGCUAAUCUGAUGUGAUGCUCUUCAAAAUGUAUUUGUUAUGUAUUUAGAUCUAUUGAAUCAAGUGGACCAUUUACUUAAAUCUCUCUAUCUCUCCAAAAAACUGUGGUACUUUUUGCUUUUUGAUAAAUCAAUUAUCAUAAAUCUCAAAUAACUCAAAGGAAACCUUGUUAGUUUUGGAUUUCUUACCAUGGUGGUAGAAAUUAGUGGUCGGUUCUUAAAUUGGAAUGUAGGAAUUGUAAACAUGUCGUCUUUCUCUGGUGUUUAACCUAGAAUAUAUAUUUUUGUAACCUGACCUCCAAGUCACAUGUCAUUGUACCCUUGAAGUAUAUUGAAAUUUGUGUGCUUGUUGAAAAAUGAAAGAAUAGAUACUGUAAAUGCGGUGGAUUUUGAAAGUAUUUUGUAGUGAACCAAUUUUCUCAAGCACACUGAUGUCUGGCUAAUGAUAUAGAUGUU
rnacentral:lncRNA from 1 species